GUGAGAGGGGGCAGCGAGGCAGCCGGCCCCGGGGGCUGUGAGGGGACGGCUCGCAGGGGCAGUGUGGCCCGCACGGACAGAGGAGGCGCGCGGCUGCUGUGCUCUGGGUUUCCCCCCAGCCCCGGGCCGUGCAGCGCUUGUUUCCCAGAAGUAUUGGAGUCCCUUACCCGCAGGACGGGAGAUUUGGGGGCCCCUGUCAUGCCUGUCCGUUAGGAAAAGCGAGCUCUGAGUCAGCUGCGUGGGGAAACCCGGCGCUGCUCAGACUCAUCUCACGUAUUUUCCUCCUAAGCACACACCUCUGGCUCCCUGCGGAGUCCUUGCGCACGGGCUCGGAAAGCAGCGGGUAGUCUCGGUGGUGGGAUCCUGAACCCUUCUCACCUGGCCUACAGCUGGUAUGAAUUUGUUUCUCUGUUGGUGAUGCUCAGACUGUUUUUGAAGCGUGGCACCAUUGUCCAGGUUUUCAAGAUAAAUAGGACUUCUUUGAGAAGAACAGCAGCAAGUAAAAUUGAAUCCUGCAUCCCCUGAUUUGCAAUGGACAUUAAAGUUUAUCUGUUUAAAAGAAUAUUUACAGGUAAGUCCUCUGUUGGAGGGCACAGGGAAGACCAGCAGGAUAUUUCCCUGAUUCCCCUCUCUUCAUCACUGACUCACUUUGAGAAUGCUGGCUGCGGCAGGGCUCAGGAGAAACUAGCAUGAAGUGUCACGCAAAUGCUCUUUGCCACGCUCCAGGAGAACUUCAGACUGCGAUAAGUACCUUAGCAGCCAACGGGGCAACAGGGAGCCCGUCCUGAGAGAGAAAGCAGGCUCACACAGCCUGGCUGGAGAGAGACGGCAGGACCCCCUAAUCGAUAGCGCAUUCGACCAAGCUGGAGGAGCUGCCGAACGCUGAGGCACGUGUGACCUGUUGCAGAGUGAGUGAGCAGCACCCCCGUUUCACAGACACAGGCCA